ensembl:lncRNA
CACAUGAUGGCACUACAAGAAAAAGGUCUGCUGGUGGCUGCCGCAAAUGCUCUAAAUGCAGAUCGAUAAUGCCAGUUUGGACCCAGAGAGCAGAGAGGACAAGAAGGCUGAGUCAGGAGGAGAUCCGGAAAGGCAGUGGUUCGAGAGGAAGGUGUGCAUACAGCUCCUCAGCCUACCUAUCCCCUCAGGCCCACACAAGGAUGCAGCAUCCAGAGACCGCGAGAGCCCACCAGACGGAGAAGGAAGUGGGGUGGGAAUAACAGAAACACCGAGAACCUCGUCAGGGAGCAGGCGGGGAAAGCAGCUCCUCGCUCCAUGCGCACCCCAGCUGGAGACAGUGGCCGGACACACACUCAGCGUGCGUGCGGGGAGCCCAGAAUGGCACAGCGGAGGGGACGCAACUCGCAUGUCACUGCAAAGGGCACCAGGGAGAGCGCAGCAGGCCCCGCGCCUGGCUCAAGGAGCACGGGGCAGGACUUGGGUUCGGCCCACCGAACAGCCCUCAGGAUCCCUCCAGGAGCUGCUGGAGACCUCAGCACAGCAGAGGCUGGCCCGGCCUGCAAGCACACCUUGAAGGAAGGAAGGGUCGCUGUGAGUCUGAGAACAGCCUGGGCCAUGUAAUGAGUUCAAGACCAGCCUGGACCACACCCCGAGGUCCUGUCUCAAGAAACCAAAGCCAGCGAAGAGCCCUGGGCACCAACCCGCUGAGAGGAGGGCAUCAUUCUCUGCAGCAGGGCAGGAGGAUGAACGUGCACCCCAUGCCCUCCCCCGGCCUUCUCAGAGCCCCAGCCACACCCGACCACCCAGUUCUGCCAGCCCGGCUCCAUUACUCACCCAGCAGGCUGAGGUCAUCCAGGAAGGAAGCCUCGCUCCUGGAGCUCACCACACUGUCGCAAC